GUUGAAAGUGUAAUUUCUUCAUUAUUCGAUUGAAAUCCCAAAUCAUAAACUAUGAAGAAAAAGAGGCCUAAACCCUCCUCCUACCACACUCUCUUUCCGGCGGAGCCAUCCUUCAAUUCUCUGCCGUCUUCCACGGCCGACUUUUUCCGCUUGAUCGCCGUCGUUUCUAUCGCCGCUGCGGUGGCGGUUGCCUGCUCUUUUAUCACCGCAUCUCUUAAUCAGCCGCCUAAACCCUUCUGCGAUGCUACUCAUGACCCCGAUGACUCUCUCGCCGACUACUGCAAACCAUGUCCUGCAAACGGAGUAUGCUAUGAUGGCAAGUUGACUUGUGAUCAUGGCUUUAGAGAGCAGGGAAAUCUAUGUGUUGAAGAUGGGGAUAUUAAUAGAGCUGCUAAAAAAAUUUCACAAUGGGUAGAAGAUCGUGUGUGCGAAGCAUAUGCUCAAUUUUUGUGCAGUGGAACCGGAAAAUGCUGGGUACCGAUGGAUGAGCUGUUGGAUAACUUGGAUAAGUACAGAACGAGUGAUACUGGUAACCUGGAUAAGGCCGUAUACAUGCUUACAAAACAAAAAGCUAUCGAGACCAUCCGUAGUGCUCUGGAGACAAGAACAGAUAAUCAAGGUAUUGAAGAACUCAAGUGCCCAGAGUUGCUUGUUAGCAAUUACAAACCACUCGGUUGUGUUGUGCGCCAGUGGAUUAUCAAGCAUGCGUUACUCUUACUCCCGGCUUGUGCAUUGAUUGUUGGAUGCAUACUGAUUGCUUGUAGGGCAUAUCAGAGACAUCUCUUGUCUGGUAGAGCCGAGCAACUUUACCAUGAGGUUUGUGAUCUACUUGAAGAAAAACCAUCAUUCUCCAAGAGCAUUAAUGGUGAAAGUGAACCUUGGGUGGUUGCAUCCUCUUUGAGAGACCAUCUUCUCUUGCCCAAGGAGAGAAAGGAUCCGUUAUUGUGGAGAAAGGUUGAGGAGUUGGUUCAAGAAGAUUCUCGUGUAGAUCAGUACCCGAAGCUAGUAAGGGGAGAAUCUAAGGUUGUAUGGGAGUGGCAAGUUGAAGGCUCUGUAGGCUCUUCAGGAAAGAGAAAAAAGAUUGCUGGAGGUGCCAAGGAAUCAAUGAGUUCAUCUGCCAAUGUUCUUCGCAGGAUUCAUGCUGUAUGAUGGUUGGAGAAGUACUACCGACAUGUUUCCAAAGGCCACUACUUGCAGUUGUCACUUGCGAUUCCAUCCAUAUUGAAGUGGGCAUGUUCGCCGCUGUAUUGGUUGUGCGAAGGGGACCUAAACUGGAUGUAGGCUGAUGGGCAAAGAUAUUGGUGUUAGCUUUGUUCAAGAUGACUAUAUAGGCAGUUGGAGGUCCCUUUAGUAUGAAUGCCAUUCUGAGUAUAUGAUGAUUUAUGUAGUUUGGAUAAGCAGAUAUGCCGAUCUCACAAGUCGGGAUGUGUGUUCUUUAAUAUUUUAAAUUAAUAGUAUAUUGUGUAAGAAAUAUGAACAUUAAUCGUAUUAUCGAUUUGUAUUUACUAUCAGAUGUACAAAUUUAGUAUAUUAUUAAAAAAAAAUCCUAAGUAUACAUAUGCAUUUGUUGAGACUGAA